UGUAGUCUUGACUGAAGAAACAAGAUUACCAGAAAGAGCCAAGCCAGUGAAGCAGGCACAACACCCCCACAAAAUUUACGGAUCAGUAAAAUGGUUGAAAAUUAGUAUACUAUAACCACGUGUCAAAUAGAAGCACUUGGUGUAGAAUUUUUAAAAGGGUAUUUACUAGAGGAUAACAAGAGAGAGGGAGAAAAAAACGGAGUCUGAGACCCAUAUUGACCAAUUUUGGUACUGGAACGAGUUUCAGUCUUUGGUAGCUAAAUUAUCGUUCCUUGGCCUGAGGGACAGAUUCCUAUCUUAUUCUACCAUCCUUGCCAUUGAGAAUAAAGUGGACGUGUCUGAUAUUGUUUAUUAAUGUGGGUGUGGUUUAAGAUUAAAGAUUAUGUGUCUGAUUGCUGCUCUGACAUAUUUAACGAGAAUUUGUUGGGUGUGGUCACUGAGGAACUUCAGGAUUUAUUGAGUGGCUGGCUCAAUGCCAUAUAUGAAUCAGCGCUGGUUGAUUUGCGUGAGUGCUUGCGUCACGUUGAUUUAAGAGAAGAGCUCAUGGAAUCAUUAACUAAAGUGUUAGACUCAAAUUUGCAUUUAUGAGAGUAGGUUACUCCACCAUGGUGCUAAUACAUCUGAUAUCAUUACCCAGUACAUCUCUUCAGUUCGUAGUCUAAAGCUACUGGACCCAACUGGUGUUGUAUUGGAAAGAGUAUGUGAACCAGUCAAAGCAUAUCUAAGGACUCAAAGUGAUACACUGACAUGAUCAUGGCCAGUCUGAUUGAUGAUAGUAACAACGACCUUUCGGAGGAGCUGGCGAAAGGUGAGACUGUGUUGCUUGAUCUUUCUGAUGAGUAUGAUGAUCCUGAUCAGGACUUUGAGGCAUGGGAACCAGAUCCAGUAGAUGCUGACCCUACUUAUUGGUUCACAUCUUUGGUGAUCAGGAUCUAUUCCUGAAUGAGUAUUAUUACUAUCACUUGACUAUGAUGCUACAAGAGAACUACGGAACCUUGAGUUAUUAAAGCUAAGAUUUGGAGAGAGUAACCUCCAUUAUUGUGAAGUGAUGAUUAAAGACUCACAUUACUAGGUCAUGAUGAGUGGGUGGGUCAUCGAACCUUAUCCCUAUAAAGAAAAACUACUCACACAAGUCACGUAUCUUGUACAGGUGGAUGUGGUUGUGGGUGGAGUCAAACAUGAUGUACAUUGAAUAGGUUGAUAUGAGAGGAGUACCAGCAACACUGGUUAAUAUUGUGUCAAGAUGUUAGCCAUUAGCAGUUGCAUAUUUACGUGAUUAUUUAGAAACAACUAGUUUAAAUU